rnacentral:lncRNA from 1 species
AGCCCUACAAAGCACACUCAGAAAUCUGAGGAGUUCAAUGAAAGACAUACAAAAGCAAUAUUUAAUGAAGGAGGUGAGGGGAGAAGUCUUACAACUAAAGUAAUUCUCAAGGAACUGGUGAAGUCUUCCGUUGUUGAUGCCCAACCAAAACCUGUAAAUGUACAAAAAAUUAUUCAAUCCAUCAAGUCAGGUCAAGAUGUUAAUAAAGAAGUAGAAAGUGAUACACAGACAAGGUGCAUAGAUGAAAAUAACCAGUUGGAGGUACAACAUUUUAAUAGAAGAGUUAUCAAUAGUAAAGGUCCCGAUAGCAAUUCAAAGUGAUGAUACACAUUUAUGGAGUGAGCAAGUUGCAUAAUAUUCUCACUCACAAUAUACAUGAAGCUGCUCAGGAAUUGAAAGGUACAAAAGGUGGAGAAGGGUUUAGUAGUCUUGAAUAUUAUGAAGAAGGUGAAAUUAGAAAUGCUAAUUUGUCACGUAGGGCUCUGCUAGCUCUGAAAUCUGCAAGGAAAGGGAAAAACAGAGCAAUGGGGAAGCUGUUCUACCUACAAGAGUGCAACCAAAGAGAAAUGUGGUGUCCCAUAUGAUAAAUGAUGAUUAAAGCUCUUAUUUGGCAUACAAGAUCUGUUAGUCUCGAAAGGCUUUUCAGAGGGUGCAAAUGUUACAUAAUUUCCAUAAAUUUGCUUUUAAAGAUCUUUUGGAACCAUUUUAACAUUUUAGAAUCAUUGAGAGGUACAAGAGUACAUUGAAAGUGCCUUUUGUGUUUCACAACAUAGAUGGUAAAAUCUGGUUUUUUAUCAGUCAAGGUUGGGAGAGUACAGUGCCCAGUAACUCAGAACAACAACUGUCAUUGAUGCUGAAAAAUCAGGUCAUAGACUUGAAUUUCUUAACUACUAUUGUGUACGCAAAGUGUGAUAGGAGUGGCAAGGUAAAGGUACAGGAUUAAAUAAUGUCUAUAUCUAAUGGUAAUGUAAGCCCUUGGAUUGUAGGUGGUGACUUUAAUGUUGUGCUGAACA